GAGUUGUAAUUUGCAGAGGAUGCUUCGGGUUCGGCUCCGGUCUAAGUUCCUUGGAACAGGACGUCAUAGAGGGUGAGAAUCCCGUAUGUGACUGGCCACCACGCCCGUGUGAAGCUCCUUCGACGAGUCGAGUUGUUUGGGAAUGCAGCUCAAAAUGGGUGGUAAAUUUCAUCUAAAGCUAAAUAUUGGCCAGAGACCGAUAGCGCACAAGUAGAGUGAUCGAAAGAUGAAAAGCACUUUGGAAAGAGAGUCAAACAGUACGUGAAAUUGUUGAAAGGGAAGCGCUUGCAACCAGACUUGCCCGUGGGUGAUCAGCCGGUAUUCUUACCGGUGCACUCGCCCGUGGUCAGGCCAGCAUCGGUUUGGGCGGCUGGAUAAAGUCCACCGGAAUGUAGCUCCUCUCGGGGAGUGUUAUAGCCGGAGGUGCCAUGCAGCCCGCCCGGACCGAGGACCGCGCUUCGGCUAGGAUGCUGGCGUAAUGGUUGUAAGCGACCCGUCUUGAAACACGGACCAAGGAGUCUAACAUCUAUGCGAGUGUUUGGGUGUCAAACCCAUGCGCGUAAUGAAAGUGAACGGAGGUGGGGAACCCUCAAGGGUGCACCAUCGACCGAUCCUGAUGUCUUCGGAUGGAUUUGAGUAAGAGCAUAGCUGUUGGGACCCGGAAAGAUGGUGAACUAUGCCUGAAUAGGGGUGAAGGCCAGGAGGAAACUC
rnacentral:rRNA from 1 species